CUGAACCUCUACAGUGUAGCCUGUGGAAGGAUUGAUUUAUUUUUCGGAACCAGUUUUGGAGGUCCUUGGGAUGUCGCGGGCGGUGCUGUUAUCGUCACAGAAGCUGGUGCGCUCGUGUUUGAUCCCUCUGGCAAGGAGUUUGACGUAACAUCUCAAAGGGUAGCAGCUUCCAACCCUCUUCUAAGGGAUGCAUUUGUGGAGGCUUUGGAG